GAAGAUCUGGCAUUUCAAACGGU
rnacentral:snRNA from 1 species